rnacentral:rRNA from 1 species
GACGAACGCUGGCGGCGUGCCUAAUACAUGCAAGUAGAACGCAGUUGCGAACGGGUGAGUAACGCGUAGGUAACUGCCUCAUAGCGGGGGAUAACUAUUGGAAACGAUAGCUAAUACCGCAUACUGUGAGAUGGACCUGCGUUUUAUUAGCUAGUUGGUGAGGUAAAGGCUCAACAAGGCGACGAUACAUAGCCGACCUGAGAGGGGGAUCGGGAAAACGGGGACUGGGAAACGGCCCAGACUCCUAAGGGAGGCAGCAGUAGGGAAUCUUCGGGAAUGGACGGAAGUCUGACCGAGCAACGCCGCGUGAGUGAAGAAGGGUUUCGGAUCGUAAAGCCUCGUUGUUAAGGGAGCGGUAACUAAUCAGAAAGGUACGGCUAACUACGUGGCAGCAGCCGCGGUAAUUC